UACGUAGGGGGCAAGCGUUGUCCGGAUUUAUUGGGCGUAAAGAGCGUGUAGGCGGCCACACAGGUCAGCUGUGAAAACUCGAGGCUCAACCUCGAGACGUCGGUUGAAACCGUAUGGCUAGAGUCCGGAAGAGGAGAGUGGAAUUCCCGGUGUAGCGGUGAAAUGCGCAGAUAUCGGGAAGAACACCCGUGGCGAAGGCGAUCAUCUGGGGUUGUUCUGACACUGAGGAGCGAAAGCUAGGGGAGCAAACGGG
rnacentral:rRNA from 1 species